UACGUAGGGGGCAAGCGUUGUCCGGAUUUAUUGGGCGUAAAGAGCGUGUAGGCGGCUUUGCAGGUCCGCUGUGAAAACUCGAGGCUCAACCUCGAGCUGUCGGUGGAAACCGUAAAGCUAGAGUCCGGAAGAGGAGAGUGGAAUUCCCGGUGUAGCGGUGAAAUGCGUAGAGAUCGGAAAGAACACCAACGGCGAAAGCACUCUGCUGGGCCGACACUGACACUGAGAGACGAAAGCUAGGGGAGCGAAUGGG
rnacentral:rRNA from 1 species